AUUGAACGCUGGCGGCAGGCCUAACACAUGCAAGUCGAGCGAGCGGCGGACGGGUGAGUAAUGUAUGGGGACUGCCCGAUAGAGGGGAAUAACUACUGGAAAAGGUGGCUAAUACCGCAUACUAUCGGAUAACCCAUAUGGGAUUAGCUAGUAGGUGGGGUAAAUGAUCACCUAGGCGACGAUCCCUAGCUGGUCUGAGAGGAUGAUCAGCCACACUGGGACUGAGACACGGCCAAGAACUCUACGGAGGCAGAAGUGGGGAAUAUUGCAAAAUGGGCGAAAGCCUGAUGCAGCCAUGCCGCGUGUAUGAAGAAGGCCUUAGGGUUGUAAAGUACUUUCAGCGGGGAGACGUUACCCGCAGUAGAAGCACCGGCUAACUCCGUGCCAGCAGCCGCGGUAAUUC
rnacentral:rRNA from 1 species